AGCAGUCGCCGCGGGAAUACGUAGGGUGCAAGCGUUAAUCGGAAUUACUGGGCGUAAAGCGUGCGUAGGCGGUUUGUUAAGUCUGUUGUGAAAUCCCCGGGCUCAACCUGGGAAUGGCAAUGGAUACUGGCAAGCUAGAGUGUGUCAGAGGAUGGUGGAAUUCCCGGUGUAGCGGUGAAAUGCGUAGAGAUCGGGAGGAACAUCAGUGGCGAAGGCGGCCAUCUGGGACAACACAGACGCUGAGGCACGAAAGCGUGGGGAGCAAACAGGAUUAGAUACCCCUGUAGUCCCUGUCUCUUAUAC
rnacentral:rRNA from 1 species